GGAGGCAUUGCUUAAGUGGUAAGAACACCUGCCUAGCAAGCAUGAGGCCCUGAGUUCAAACCCCAGUACUGCUA
rnacentral:tRNA from 1 species